rnacentral:rRNA from 1 species
CCCUUAGAUGUUCUGGGCUGCACGCGCGCUACACUGAUGCGUUCAACGAGUUUAUGACCUUGCCCGAUAGGGUUGGGUAAUCUUUUUAAAUCGCAUCGUGAUGGGGAUAGAUUAUUGCAAUUAUUAAUCUUCAACGAGGAAUUCCUAGUAAGCGCGAGUCAUCAGCUCGUGCUGAUUACGUCCCUGCCCUUUGUACACACCGCCCGUCGCUCCUACCGAUUGAAUGAUCCGGUGAGGCCCCCGGAUUGUGGCAAUGGCUCUGGUUCGCCAGACCAAUGCUGCGAGAAGCUGUCCAAACCUUAUCAUUUAGAGGAAGGAGAAGUCGUANCA